GCAAGACAAAGAUAUCAAAUGGUUCCUUAAAUGGGAAAGCUAAGAAAAAAGGAUCAAGUAAGCAUCUUUGCAGCACUCCUACUCCUUCAUUAGGUAGAAGAUUCUCACCCCUACCAAACCAAAGGCAUACAGAAAUGCAAGAUAAAAGAGAAGUAUUUUCCCCAAACCUGUCUACUUCUCCAAAACCUAUUCUGAAGAGAGAGAUACAUACAGCCAAGCCUUGUGUAAAUCAAAGUACAGGACAGAAAAAUGCAAAUAAAAAUACUGCCACAUCAAAGCUGAAAAAUCAGAGCAAAACAGGCAACAGCUUAUGAUUGAUGCUGUUCCCGGAGGUGCCAAAUAAGCCAGAAAUGUAUUUACAGAGAAAAGAACACUGGUUGCGAAAAUUUCGUCUUGAAACAAUUUAUCUAAAUGCACUUUAAUCCAUGUCACUGGCCUACAUUUUGCAGUGAAUGGUUCUAGACUAGUGUGUGUAAACACCACACUUCAGGUUCUUCAGAAAUUGUAAAUGUGUUUUGUAUGUUGAUGUACAGUAUAUAUUUCUUGUACAGCCAGCCUUCACUGUAUAUGUAAGCAAUGUUUGAGAUGCUUGAACUUGAUUUGCUGUGUUUGCACAUAUGUUCAUAAAUAUUUCUGUACAGUGUUAGUAAACUAUAAAUGAAAACUGAACGGCGCAUCUACUCAAGUGAAAAUGUUAUACUCCACAGUUUUUUUGCAGUGUUUCAGUAUUCACUUGAUCAAACUUUGUUUUCAAGAAGACAGAUUUAUAUACAGUGUGAAUAUUACCAGACACUUCUCACUGUCUUACUGAUCAUUAUCAGCAUUCCAGUUUACAUGAAGGAAGUUAGAUGCAAACAGUUUCUUUACCAUUUAAGACUUGGCCUUGCGUUCAUAUUUAAAUAGAAUGUGUUCGGAUGAACUGUAUGCUCAUAAGCUAAGUAGACAACAAAUCUAACAUAUAUAACAUGUUGUGGUCUGCUUGUAUACAGAUUUGUCAUUGUUUUAAACCAUAAAAGGAUGAUUGAUUAUUUUACCUUA